UUACCCCAGUACUCUCGUUUUUUCCUCCCACUCUCCAAUUUUUUCUGAAAAGAAAAACCCUAACCUUUCUCUCUGUUCCCUCUCCUCUCUCUCCUGCUCCCUCUCGUUCCCACGCGUCCCUCUCCCUCUCCUUCUCCUGCUCGGUGCCGCCCAUUCCACCGGCGCCGCUCGUGUCCCUCUCCUUCAAGUUCCAUCGCUCCCGGGCUCUGAUACCAUCCGCUGCCGAUCCAUAGUUCUUCACCGAUUGAUGCUUCAUGUAACACUUUCCUUGUUAAACUCCAAGCACUACGUAUCAUUGCUUGCUGUUCUCACUAAACCCUCAGCACCAGCCUCAGCAUCUCGACCCCGACAAGCUUUAGGACCACUUCAACAAUUUCUAUGAAGAUCUCUUUCAGGAGCUCAGCAAGUUGGAAAUGUAUAUGUUCAGUAAAAAGAGGAAGAUCAUGCCCCCAAUGCUCUGAUGAACCUCACUGGAAGAUUUUUUCAGGUACUCAAUUCCCCCCUUUUCUCAUCCAAUUAUGGUUUUUCUCCAUUUUUCCCUUCAAUACUGAGUCCCUGAUUAUGUGAGCUACUGCUUUCAUUAUUCAUGGUUUGGUUCUAAUCCUGUUAUCUUGUGAAUUGUUACAGCUGUAAACUAGUUGGUGGGAUGUUUGUGUUUAUGAUAAGAAAGCCAUUUUCUAGCUUAAAAAAGCCAUUUUUCAAUGUGGGUGUGUUUGUAAUUUGUAAUUUUCUUUGUGUAAGCAAAGUUAAUAAUUUAAUAUUACUGGUUUCAGGUCAAUAUAUUGGAGAUGCUCAAAUGGUUUGACAUUGAGUCAUUUUUAAUUACCUUAUUGUUUGCUGUUAGUAGUACUGAUUUGUUAGUUAGUUUGUGGACAGUCAAGGAAAUGAUCUUAGAAAGAAGACAAUGAACUCUGUCUUCUGGAACUCAAACAUGAUUCAAUGUCUUGAUUACUAGCUCAGAUAUAACACGUCUGAGGUAUUUUCAAGUGCUACUUGUGUAAAUUUAUCAAUAUGGAAAACUAUCUUAACCUUAUGCAGCAAAUCAGUACUAUAGCUGGUAAUCAAGUGCCUAGCUAUUUUGUGUGGGAAGUCCUUUUUACUAUGUCCAUCAUGGGAUUGGGACUCCUUCUUUUUGCAAUUCUCAUUGGAAACAUACAGAAUUUUCUACAGGCUCUUGGGCGGAGGAAGCUGGAAAUGCAACUUAGAGGUCGUGAUGUUUAGCAAUGGAUGAGCCAUCGGCGCUUACCAGUAGACCUGAGAAGGAGAGUAAGACAGGCUGAACGGUAUAAUUGGGCUGCAACAAGGGGGGUGAAUGAAGAAAUGGUUAUGGAGAAUCUGCCAGAAGAUCUGCAGAGAGACUAAUUAUGAUCAUAACAUCUGCACUAAAUGACUAAUUAUAAUUACAACAAUUUGUCAUGCUUACGCCUUAAGUAGAUUAUAAUCAUGUGGUUUAGAUGCUAGAUAAGCUUCAGAAUCUCAGUCACCAUGGUUCACUUAAGAUUUGGUUUUCUUUAGGUCUCUACUUGUAACCUGUUAGAUUGAGUAGAAGUUUAAAUGUAAAAAUCAUUUUGAAGGAAAAUCAUUUUGCCAGAGUAUGGAAUGCCAUUAUCUGAAGGGGACGCUUGUGGUGAAGAACUUAUGACAUGGUAUCUUGAACAUUCUUCUGUAAGCUCAGAUGGUAGAAAAGUAAGGCUUCCUGGACAGAGGUUGGUUAGCAACAGGACAGUAAAGUGCUUGACAAAUGUGGAGGCAUUUUCACUCUCUGCCGCCGACCUUGAAGAAGUCACGAUACUUUUCACAAGAUUCUUGCUGUAACACCCCGAUUUCGGUGGCGUCACUUUAGUAACCAAAAGAAAAUACUUUAA